rnacentral:lncRNA from 1 species
GAGAUCAUAAAUAAAGAAAGACUGCAAUGCUUUUCUGGUGUUUAAUGAAUUGUAGAUAGGAAACCUAAAUGCCACAGCUGACUCAUAAGAAAGUCAUGGGAUAACCUGACCUUGUCAACGAGACAAGAAAAGGUAACAGAGUCUUCGGAGAUUCGGAACCUGCAUACGCUUGCUGCAGUGACACCGCGCACUGCUUAAGAGAAAGUGCAGUAAACAAAAUUCCAUAUUUCCUUAUCUAAUCGCCUCUUUGCCGCUAAGUCCCUCUUUGGUACUGUUUUCUGCUAAUUCCCUGAUAUCCACCAGAUGAGACUGUUUCCCAAGAGCCCACAGAGAAGCGCCUGGCCAGACAAAUAGCUUAGUCGCUGGAAGAUUCCCCAACUGAGGUACAAUAGGUCUCAGGAUCAUUCGAUCUAUGAGAAUCUCUAGGAAAGCUCUCGUCGACUCAACCGAUCAAUAGAAGGAAGGACCACCUCUGAGAGGAGCCUCUUCUAGUUUUUGCAUGAUGAUCCCUUUCCCCUUUCCUC